UAUAAUUUGAAACGCUAGGGA
ensembl:piRNA 21ur-2827 ncRNA